rnacentral:rRNA from 1 species
GACGAACGCUGGCGGCGUGCUUAACACAUGCAAGUCGAACGGAAAGGCCCUGCUUUUGUGGGGUGCUCGAGUGGCGAACGGGUGAGUAACACGUGAGUAACCUGCCCUUGACUUUGGGAUAACUUCAGGAAACUGGGGCUAAUACCGGAUAGGAGCUCCUGCUGCAUGGUGGGGGUUGGAAAGUUUCGGCGGAUGGGGAUGGACUCGCGGCUUAUCAGCUUGUUGGUGGGGUAGUGGCUUACCAAGGCUUUGACGGGUAGCCGGCCUGAGAGGGUGACCGGCCACAGUGGGACUGAGAUACGGCCCAGACUCCUACGGGAGGCAGCAGUGGGGAAUAUUGCACAAUGGGCGGAAGCCUGAUGCAGCAACGCCGCGUGCGGGAUGACGGCCUUCGGGUUGUAAACCGCUUUCGCCUGUGACGAAGCGUGAGUGACGGUAAUGGGUAAAGAAGCACCGGCUAACUACGUGCCAGCCGCCGCCGUAAGAC